UCUAACGUGGCAGAUAAGUGCAUUGGAUUUAAGCUCCAUAAAUAAAGUUUAAAACUUUCAUUAGAA
rnacentral:tRNA from 1 species